UACCUUUCAAAAAGUACACCUUUGUACCUAAAGAUUACAUGAGUACCUCAGAGGUACAUACUGGUACCAAAGAUUUCAUAUUAGUACAUCAACGGUACACAUUGGCUGCGCAGACUGAUCUACGUGAAGUUCUGCGAGAGAGCGAUUAGUAAGCGCUGGUCUCGAAACUCUCUCGCGAUACUUUGAUGUCAUAGCCCGAUAGAUCUGGACGGCGUAGCUGAGUUUAACAAACUCCAGUGAGAUGGAAGAGCGCGAGAAAAAUCUCCAGAACAAGAUUACUGCAACACGACGUCGUCUGUCUGAGCCAGGACCAAGAUGAAGUAGAUGACCAGCACCACUAUAUCUAUGGUGACCAGUGUGGUCGGUGGUGGCGUGCCCUCAGCGGUCGGCGAAGGAGAAACACGGGGAAGCUCGGUGACACUCAUUAGGUCAAAGAUCAACGACUUUCUCAGGAGUGACUUUAAAAUGUCAUCCCUCCAUGACUAUACAAACUGAAUACAUCCAAAAGAAGACCCCUCUGUCCGCAUUGAAGACCCCUCUGUCCAGAACUAAGAGAGCGCAGGCAAGCUCUCUGCAGCCCUGGAUCUACAUCUCCACUAAGUUUGUUCAGCUGUAACCCUAUUGCAGAGCACGGUGCCGAAAUCUGGGACAAGCUAGCUGGGUCUUUAAAUGAAUCCUUUGCAAGAGCAAGGAGGUUUAAACUGACUUUCAAUGGAUCAGUAGCAAGUCAGGUCAGGCCCAGGGAUUCAAUUAUAGCAGAAGAGCACGGGCAUAUGUGAAGGCCUGAAGGGCUACGAAACCUGGCACCGUCUGUGACUCCAGCAUAUGAAGUUAAAAACUAACAGCAGGUGAACAGAAGUCAAGGUGAGCAAAACUCCAUUAUGACCUUGAUCUGUAAGACUGACCCACUAGAAGGAUCACAAAACUACUAUAUAGCAACCUUAUACUCGCAACGCCACAAUCUAUCUCAGAAAGCCCUGACUGCCUGUACAUUAUCUUGCUUAUUAUACGGCUAUUUACCUCAUAAGUAAGGUAAGGGACAUUAAAUAUUGAUUGCUAAAUAUUGAAUUAUUUGCUCAUUUUUAACGAAUG